AUGCGAAACAGUGGGGGUAGCCCCUCUGUCUGCCCGGCGUGGUGGCUGGGCACUGAUGAGCAGCCGACC
rnacentral:hammerhead_ribozyme from 1 species